GACAGAGGCCUCGAGCGUUAGGCGGAAUCACUGGGCUUAAAGCGUGUGUAGGCGGGCCCGUAAGUGUCUUGUGAAAUCCCACGGCUCAACCGUGGAACUGCUGGGCAUACUGCGGGUCUUGGGCCAACUAGGGGCAGCCGGAACAAGCGGUGGAGCGGUGAAAUGCGUAGAUAUCACUUGGAACGCCGAAGGUGAAAACAGGCUGCUGGGGUUGCGCCGACGCUGAGACACGAAAGCCAGGGGAGCAAACGGG
rnacentral:rRNA from 1 species